UUUCAAAAAUUUUGAAUAAGAUGGUAUCUGCUGGAUGGCCUCAGAGAAGGGAAUGGUUAUUUCUAAUUUUUUUGAAAAUUUCCAUGAAACGAUCAAAUUGUCUCUGUUUCUCUUUACUGGAAGAUACUUUAGGGUAAGGUAGAGGUUUUUCAUACUCCUUCUCCUUACACUUCUCAGCUUCUUCUUUCUUUUUUUCUCUCCACAGAUUUUUUUCUUCCUCUUCCUCCUUUUUAUUAUUUUCCUCUGCUAUACUUCCUUUAUUAUCAACCUCUCUUUCUUUUACAACUCUUCCACUUCUAGUAACAAUUUCGCAGGCUUCUUCCCUCCUAUCUUUCUCCAUACAAUCAUCACUACCAACACUUUUCUUCAUAAUUCUCUAGAAGAUUUCCUCAGAUUCUGUACUUCUAUGAAUGGGGUUGAAAAGGAUCAUUGGUGGGGCUUGUGAAGUUUCUUUACAAAUUUGUGACAACUCAGCAAGUUUUCUUGUCACUUCCUCCAACUGCUGUGUAAUCACGUCACUUUGAAUCAUUGAAAGUUCCUGAAUAGCACCAACAUGCGUGUCAUAAGCUUCUUCGUUGUCAGCCAUAAGUUCUAUCAAAUUAUAAGCUUCAUCUUCAGUCUUCCUCUUAAUACUUCCUCCAGCUAAACCAUCUAACACCAUCUUCGACUGAAGGCACAGGCAUCCUAGGAAAGCAAGCAAAUACGAAGUCUUAUCGAACCCAUGGACUGGGGUCUUUCUUAACAAGCCCUUAAACCUAUCCCACGCCCUUCCAAAAGUUUCUUCUCUGCCUUGUUUGAAUGAAGAAAUCUCUAACUUCCCUUGAUUGAUCCGUGCAGGCGGGAAGAAUUUAGAAAUAAAUUGUUUAGCCACAACUUCCCAAGUCCUGAAAGUUCCUUCAGGAAAAGAAUGUAAUCAGUCCUUCGUGUUUCCUUCAAGAGAAAAAGGAAACAAACUGAGUCUAACGCUGUCAUCGGACACUCCAAUUAUCUUGAUCGUGUUGCACAGUUCACCGAAGAUGGUCAAAUGCUUGUAAGGACUUUCAUUUGACAAUCCACGAAAUUGGUUGUUAUGGACUAACUGGAUGAGCGUCGGACUCAUCACCAUGCUGGUUGUGUUGUCAGCUGGAACUGCUAUGUUGUUGAAGUUUAAAGGGCCUACUGCAUUUGCGGCAUCCCCCAAAGUACGUCUAGGAGGAGGUUGGUUGGCCCUCUCCUCAAAAUCUGAAACAGGAAUCUCAAGUGAAGUCUGUGAAAAAGCUUCAGGAGAAAGAGAUCUCUCACGUGAAGAAUGCCUUUUUCUCCUCCCGUCUGGUAGACCUUCCACAAAGGUUGUUGGUUUUUCCGGCUUCUAGUAUGUAUUGUUUCCUGUAUACACAAGAAACACACCCUAAAAGCACUUUUACAGAAAAAUAAAAAUAAAACCCAAUUAAACAAAAAUAAAACAAAAUAAUUACAACCAAGUCAAAAUAAAUUAAUCCACACUACUAGAAAAAUAAACCUCGAGUCCCCGGCAACGGCGCCAAAAAUUGUUAACGGAUUGGCAAGUGUACCAAAUCGUACAAGUAAUAUAAAUGGUAAGACCAAGUAUCGUUUUCCCAAGAGACUCGAAUGGCUUUCUCGUUCGCGUGAAUUAAAAUGAUAAGACUUGAAAAUAAAAAUUAAUAAUUUGGGUUUGAGAACAAAAAUAUUAACAUGCAAAAUAAAGUUGAUUCAAUUGACAAAAGAAAACAAUGGAUGAAUGGAUGUUGUUGGGGGUUUACAAUCUCAUCUAAUUCGCUCUCUCUUACCUACUCCUCUUGAAUAUUAGUUUGAUUAAUUAAUUGUUAUGCGACUUUCUUAGCCUCCCCUUAACCCGAUCCCUCGGCGAAAAAAGCCUAAUAUUAACUACUGGCUUGCUAUCCCUAGCCUCCCCUAGCAAUUAAUACCGCAUUAUAAACAGAAGUUAGCACAAUUGAUCGUCCUACCCCUAUCCCUAGUUGAUAUUGAAAAAUCAAGAAAUUACUCACCAGUUCAUGUCAUUACUGUACAUCCCCAUAUCAAUAAAGACAAACAUCAGUUACCGAAUGAGUUAAACGAUAAAGGCCUUAAGCACAGAUGACAACCCAACAAUUAUCAAUCAAAACAUAUGGAGACCAUAUAAAUAAUCAAGAGUUUCAAUAAAANAGAGUAUCAAAAGAUUACAUUGUUUCCCCCAACAACAAUAGGGUUUAGUUCACCAUAGAAAAAUGGAAGAAGAAUGGGAAGAGCAAACCCUAGAAAUGACGAAAAGGAGCCUAAGCAUCCAAGAGAUCCUCUCUAGAGAGCAAAAUUAGGUCUAGUCGUUCUCCCCUAUCAAAAGAAUAAUUUUGAACUCAAAAUAGGGAUAUUUAAAGGUGAGAAACGCAACAGAAAACAGGCCCAAGCCAGCGAGCCACCGCCCGACAGUUUCCCCAAAAGCCUCCAAACCGCCUGGCGGUUUCCCAAAAGCCUCUAAAUCGCCCAACGCCAAUGCCAGUGUCUACUCCUUGUCCUGGACCGCCCGGCGGUUUAAGUGUGUCGCCGGGCGGUGCGUUGACUCUUCAAAUCUUCAUUUUUUUGCUCUUUUCUUAAGUCUACGACCUGUAUCUUCAACUCCAUUCUUCAUUUCUCAAAAUAGCUACAAAACAAUGCAAAACAAGCAUAAAAUCACUAAAAACAGCUUUUGACUCUCUACAAACUCAUUUAUUGAGUUUUGCUUGAUUCUAGGCUCAUUCCAAGAUGUAAAGGGCUUAAUUCGGUCCAAAUUGACAUAUGAAAAUAACUGUUUUUCAACCUUCAUCAACACCCCAAACUUAGAAUUUUGCUUGUCCUCAAGCAAAACAAAACAAAACAACACACAAAACAAAACUUGGCUUUAUCCUCUUCCAUCAAAUGAUUCAACAUUCCAAAGUACAUGACAAACACCACUCAAAUUCAAAUCUUCAGUGAAAUCAAAAUAAGGUGUAUGCAUGCUUUCAAUCCAGCGAUUGCACAACAGAUGUUAUAUAUUAUGAAUGACCAAUCCACUAAGCAAAAAUGCACUCAUGCAAAUUAACAGUUCACACUAAGCAAGUGUUUCACUCAAUCACUCAAGUGGUUAAGGUGACACUCCAACUCUCUAUUGUUCACAAGUCACAUGAAACAAAAUUGCCAUUCAUCUCAAACAAUCAACAUCUUUACAUGCAAAUGCCAUCAAAAGGACUUUUUCAAGGCUUGUAAUGAAGUUGGGCUAACAAGAAAAAUUGGUUUUUUCCGG
rnacentral:lncRNA from 1 species